AUACGGAGGGUGCAAGCGUUAUUCGGAAUCACUGGGCGUAAAGCGCGCGUAGGCGGAUGAUUAAGUCAGUUGUGAAAGCCCUGGGCUCAACCUAGGAACUGCAUCUGAUACUGGUCGUCUAGAGUUUAUGAGAGGGAAGUGGAAUUCCAGGUGUAGCAGUGAAAUGCGUAGAUAUCUGGAGGAACAUCAGUGGCGAAGGCGACUUCCUGGCUUAAAACUGACGCUGAGGUGCGAAAGCGUGGGUAGCGAACGGAAUUAGAUACCCCAGUAGUCC
rnacentral:rRNA from 1 species